UGUUAUGAAUGACAAUAUUGACGCCAUUAAGGAUAUGAGUAAGAUUAUUUCAAUCCUCCCACUCAAUUCAUUUCCUCGCAAAGGAUUAAGUAUAUUAAAGCUAAAAGUUGCAAAUUUCAAACACGUUAAAGAUAAAAGGGAACAGGCAUUAUUCUCAUUAGAAUAACUGAUAGUGAUUACAAGUAUGAAUCAUUUUCUGAAGGAACCUGGCGUACUGCGGAUGAAUAGAGAGUGUAAUAUGCGUCCUCACAAAAAAGCAAAUUGAAAAGAAGCUGGAAGAUAUAAAAUAUGUUUAUUUUCACAAAAUAAAUGACUGUUAAAAUCCUUUAAGACCACUUUGUAUGAAUCGUUUAGCCAAUAUCAACUUAACCUUUUAAAUAAAACUACGAAGGAGUUAAAUGCUUCAGCUGUAGUAUUUGUUACAGUAAGAAGAAAUAAUGAAGAACAAACUUGUUCCGUCAUAACUGAAGUCCAAAGCAAAGUUUUCUUAAAUUACUCUCUAUAUCUAUUCGAGAAGUUCUCACAAGUUGGUCAUAUAUCGUAAAAAUCACUUAAACCUCUUAAAUAUAGCAAACUUUUAGGCUCGUAAAAUGUCCAGUUUUACAUUAUUCAUUUGAACGAAUUUCAUUUCAAAGGGAAAAUACAAUAAGGCUUUGGGAACAAUGAAGACGUUUCCAUGAGGAUGCAUUCAAGGUCAUGACUGUCCGGUGUAUAUCGUGAGAGACUUAAAACAAGUCAAACAACUUGACAUCACUCAGUAAAUGCAAGAUAACAAUUGAGGUCUUUAUUUCCUGAAAGAAUUUUGCAAAUUUGUUGUAGUAGAUCUACUUAACUUGAAAAUGAUCGUAAUUUUGCUCAAACAUUUCAUAUCAUCCAAGUAAAUAUUUCAUUGAAACUAGCAAUUUGUAAACGGAUAGGCUAAAAGAACAAGAAUUUCUACAUUAAGAAACCUUCCAAAAUAGAAAAAGUGGAAAUCACAGGUCAGGUCGCCUAACACGACAUAAACGAACAUGUUGCAGGCUGUGUUUGACUGAGCCUGUUCAUGGAAGGUAGAGGUAAUGCAAGCUACAGUCCACGCCCUCUAGCCCGGGUUGAGCAGAACUCAACAUUUACACAUGUUACACAUGUUCUAAGAAACAGAAUAUAAUUGAGAGACAUUCGCAGAUGUAUUCAUACGAAAGUGCUAAUUAAUGGAACCUUCAAUGAUGCACUAGGCGCAAUGCUAUGAAAAACUGCGUAUUGUACCCAGAUAAAAUAAUGGCUUUGAUCUUAACGAGAAAACAAUGGAGAAGAACAAAACAAAAUGGAAUUUAGAGAGGGGAUCUGAGGUUAUCACAAACUGCAAAAAGAUACAAUUAAAGAGUAGGUACCAUAUCAAAGGGGUUAUUAAACAAAACCGAAAGAUGUUCAAGCUGAAAACUUAAACAGAACACUAACACAACGGAAAUGUCGUGGUGAACGAUCUGAAGAGAUCGAAAUCAAAAUAGCUUUAUGACUUUGCUCCAAUGAGUAAUUUCCUUUUUAUUCAUUUACAAUAGACAAAGAACUACAAAAUGAAAUAUUCUUCCGUGACAAAAAUGCCUCAGUUUCCUGACUGGUCAUAACUUUCUGAAUAGAAAAAGUCGCUUUAUGGUUAAACUCAAGUAAAUGCAUUUAGGCAUAAAAAUAGUCAAAAUAUACUCAAAAGUAAUAAUAUUAGUGAUAAUAAUUUUCUUUGGUCUGGCUGCAAUAUGCAAUGUAAUUAUCAUAUUAAAGGAUUUUAAGUUCCUUUUUAAAACAAAAAUGACAUAAUAAAUAUUUGCAACACAUUGUGAAAUAUAUUUGCGAUAAAUGUAGGAACACCCUGUUUCGAGGAAACCUAAACUUUUGCGGCGGCUGAAUCAAAAUGAAAACAGAAGGGCAGUCGAUAUUUCUUCUUCUUCUAGUGAGGUUUACAGCCACAGAAAGCACAUCGAUAGAGAAAAAGAAACAAUGCAAAGUACAAAUGAUUCAUAAUCAGAUGGCUCUAAACUGCAGUCAUCAAAACUUGCCAUAUAUUCCGAAGACUGAAAAUUAAGUCAUGUACUUGGUAUUUAGUUACAAUGAUUUAAGAAACGUCUCAUUUGAAACAUUUGAAAAUGUAAGCGAUCCAAAUAGUCUGACAAACCUUUUCCUUGAUCAUAACAAUAUUCAAAACGUUUCAAAAACGGCUCUAGGUGCGUUUCAAAAUUUGAAAUACCUGUAUCCGUCCUACAAUCCGAUACAGUAUGAAAAUAUGAAAAAUCUGUUAGUUGAACUGUCUAAAUUGAAGUUUCUUUCUCACUUUGGCAUGAAUUGAAUCGGUACCAUAACGAUUAAAAAAGAUUUGUUUUCCUUAAUGCGAAAAAAAAACAGGAUUAAAAUGCUAGGUGUCAGAUUUUACAACAUAUUUGUUUGAAAGUUUUGUACUUAAGUCACAAUCAGAUUGAAAUUAUAAAACUUUCUAAACAUAAAAAGUUGUUUCAUUUAUACCUUGAUACCAAUAAGUUUAAAUCAUUGCCAGACUUUUCAGUCGAUGGAAGUGAAAAGGAUUGCUAUCUCCCAAACCUUGAGCUUCUCAGUGUCAAAAGUAAUGAUAUAACAGAAAUUGAUUUCGAUAAUUUUAAAUGUUUAUUGAAAUUGAAAACACUUGAACUCGAUCAUAAUCCUAUAAAAAUAUUACAAAAUAACCUCUUUCAUAAACUACCAAAACUUGAGUUACUGACGCCUAGAUAUCUACAUGCAGACAGUCUAACAGUCAAGCCAUUAGCUUCAAAUCAUCUUCACUAAGAUAUUUACAAUUCGAAUUUAGUAAACCUGCAAGAGAACUGUUCCUAUCCUUCAAUGCCAUGUUUAAAUAUGUGCAAAAUUUGAGAAAUUUAUCAUUCGGACUUGUAAGUUGGCGACAAUUAACUAACCAGCAAUUCUCAGCAUUUUUAACCGCUCGAUAACAUUAAGUCUUUUCAGUGUUUUGGAUGUGAGAUUUCGCAAGAUCCUAAAGUCAUUUUAAAUCAUAUGGAACAAGCAGUUUAUGUAAGCCUUCAUUCAAGUCAAAUGACACGGUUAACUGAUAAAACAUUUAAAGAAAACAAGCAUUUGAGAUAUCUCGAAUUAAGAUAUAAUGAUAUUGCGCAUAUACAAGAGUCGGCCCUACCAAUUUCACUUCUGGAUAAUUUACAUUCACUAGAUCUUAGUCAAAAUCCUUUCUUAUGUGACCUUGAAUGGCUGAUCAACUGGAUGAAACAAAACAAGAUAAAAAUGUGAUUCGAACGACUUUAAUUUGAUUUUUGUUUUAUUUAACCAUGUCAGACUGCACGUGCAAUCUCAAGGAAAAGGUCGCCAUUUAUUUAUUGAGCCAGCGAUAUUCAUAUGAAAACUAACGAUUUUUUCUUUCUUUUCGAAGUACAUAAUAAAUCGUAAUAUAUA